UCAGACAUAUCUUUGUCAACACAUCGGAUAUGAGUUGUUUAUCUCCAUGUCAUGAAGUGACCAAAUGAACUUAUUGACCAACAAGUCCAUUGCUAGCUAAUUCAUUUAGAGGAACAUUCAUUGAGCUUGAACUUGCACAAACUUUGCCCAAAUUUUGCACGUUUUCCACCAUAUACAGCCGACAUCAAGGUGCCAAACCUUCUUGUUAAUGCGAACUCUUGGAGAACAUUAGCCUUUUAUUCCUAGAGUAACUUUUAUUAUUUGAGUGAGGGCCCUAGGGCCAACUUUUUUCCCUGCUCGACUGGAAGAAUGGUAGAUCCUUUUGCACAACCUAUUAUAGUAGGGAAGCCUUAUAACUUGAAAUGAAUUCAUCAGUUGACUUUCAACCUAAUGACACCACGGGCCAGAUCACAACAUGACAUCAUAAUCUUUCGCAUUUACACUACCGGUGACAACACCAAAAUACUACCCGGAAAAAAAAAAAAAAAAAAAAAAAAAAAAAAAAAAAAC
rnacentral:lncRNA from 1 species